GGGCUCCCUGCACAAGAGGUGUGCGACUGCAUGCCUUGUGUGAGCCUCAGAUGAGCCCUGCGUCUUCUUCAGGCUAUGCUUGGAUAUUGCUGAUGGAGAAGACCCAAAGAAGGUUGGUCCUGCUUGCAGUGAAUUCGCUGUGCUUUUCCAAAUACCCUUCGUUUUUCCUACUCCAUCAGUUUUCAGUGCUGGUAUGUGCUCGAAGGGUGAGCUGAUGCCAGGCCUUCCCCAGCCAGGGGUUGAGGGCCAAAUCCCUUCUUGAUAGCUAGGCAGUGGGGAGAAGACAUGAGAUGCUUAAGAAGUAGUCACAUUUCCCCUGGGGAGAGGCUGGUUUUCAGAGUUACAUCCAUUCAGAACACCCCGCAGAAUCCAAUUGUGAGAGACAAGCCAACUUGACCCUGUUCUUUUGUUCUCACCGAGGUCCUGUCCUUGGCAUCUACUUCGUCCUCUGGUAGACACCAGUGAGGUGCAGUCACUACCCUGAUGGGGCUUCCUGACCUGCUGUUUGGCUGUGGAAGAGACUUGACUCCUUUCUUUUUGUGCUGGUGGAGAUCACAUGCAAAAGGGAUGAUGGCGAUGGUGGACAGGAAGCCCAACUCCUGCCCCCUAGAUAAUUCUUCCCUUGGUGAUGUCCAAUCCUGGAUGGAAUCAGUUCAAGAUGAGUGCCAGCUUCAUACAAGAGCCCUACCAGGCUUGGCCUGAGAGAGAGGUGCCAUCAACUACCAAGAGUGCGUACUAAAUGGCCUUUUUAUGGAAGAGAUUCUCAAAAGGAAGCCCAAGGCCCGGGAAGAAAUGAUGGACCAGAAACCACAGGUCAUGCAAGUUAAGGUCACAGGUUUCUUUGUUCCAGACUCUCAGCACCCAGGCUACCCUAGAGGGCCAUGAGAUCCCUUUGCCACACCUUGGCAUACACCAUUAUGACUUGGGAAGCCAACACUGUAUUUGUGUCAUUUCUCUAGACUUUCUAUUUGUCAGGACAAACUCCUUGUACAGUCCUAAAGGAAGCUCCCUGGGGACAGAGUAUUGCCCCUCAUAGGGGAAAGGAGUUUGAUCAGAGAACACACAUUUAACUUGAUGGCAGCUGGUUGCAGCCCCUUCCUACCAAGUGACUUAUAGGGAGACUCCUGCAGGCUCUCCAGAGGUAGUGAGGUCCUUAUAAAAUGAGGUCCUGGCACAUGGGAACAGUCUUCCCAUCGGUUUGCCUCCAUUGCUUUUUUUCCAUUUAUUGCUUGAAUUCAGUGUUUUAGGCCUGGAAUUCACUACAUAACUAAAGCCCCCAGAAUUGAAUGCAUGACAAUAUCCCUGCCUCAGACUUCGGGAAUGGGCGAUGCUGAGCUUAGAGUUUGCUUUCUUUCCUUUUGAAACUUUUUAUUUUGUUUUUAUAUGUGUACCUGAAUAUAUGUAUGUGUAACAUAUGUAUGCAGGAGCCUGCAGAUGUCAGAGGAGAGAACAUUUAAUCAUCUGGAACUAGACUUAUAGAUGGUUCCAAGUCAAUCUUGUGGGAACUAAGCCCAGUUUU